AAGAGGAUCUGCAGCCGGCUCUGCAGCUCCAGCAGGAGGGCUCUGAAUCCUGUGGUGCUCCAAGCAGCGGGUAGAGAAUUGAGAAGACUGAGGAAGUACAAGGGCCCAAGUCAGGCCUGAGAGGAGGCCCCACCCCUACCCCACAUGGCUUUGCCUGGAUGGAUGCUUAGAGAGACUCAAUCUAUACUGGACUUCCAAGAGCUUAAAGAAGUAUGCCCUACAUUGGAAACAGAACAUGGGAUUCAUAUUUAGGUCUUUAUUGUCACCUAACUUCAAGGUCAAACUACUGUGGGCAUCAGGAAAACAUAAGUAAGAAGAGCAAUCCGAUUUAUACACAGCCUGCAGUGGGGCCUCAUUAUGAAACAACCUCUGAUCCCUAUACUUCCACAUGUCUGAUAGAAAACCUAUCAGCUCUACAACAGAGAGGGAAGACCUUUUUCCUUGGAGUCCCAGAACUCCAAGCCAAACAUUUGUUAAUAUUUCAAAAGUAUUUUCUAAUGCAACGUGUGUUGUUACAUAAACAGUAUGUUUGGGCAGAGAGGCAACGGAGGCUGGGCCUAGACACUAAAUAUCAUCUAGAAAAUCAAGAAGACUUGCAUCCAAACCCUGGUUUCUUGUUAGUAACCCCCAAACAACCUAGCCUGCAAGUUUAUAGGGUUAUAUCUCUCCCAGCUAUUUAUUGGAACAUUAAUUAGGAAAUUCCAUCUCACUGUUCUGAGACUUUUUU
ensembl:lincRNA